AGGUCAAGUGAAGAAGGGCGCACGGUGAAUGCCUUGGCACUGGAAGCCGAUGAAGGACGCGACUAACCGCGAAAGUCUUCGGGGAGCCGUAAGUAGGCUUUGAUCCGGAGGUCUCCGAAUGGGGGAACCCAGCAUGUGCAGACAUGCUAUCCUUAAGUGAAUACAUAGCUUAAGGAGGGAACACGCAGUGAACUGAAACAUCUAAGUAGCUGCAGGAAGAGAAAGAAAUAUCGAUUUCCCAAGUAGCGGCGAGCGAACAGGAAAGAGCCCAAACCGGCAGAUUUAUCUGCCGGGGUUGUAGGACUGAGACAUGGCACUUCAGAGGAUAGCAGAAGCGUUUGGGAAAGCGCGCCAGAGAGGGUGAGAGCCCCGUAAGCGAAAUCCAAAGAAGGCCUAUCAGUAUCCUGAGUAGGGCGGGACACGUGAAAUCCCGUUUGAAUCCGCGAGGACCAUCUCGCAAGGCUAAAUACUAACCAGUGACCGAUAGUGAACCAGUACCGUGAGGGAAAGGUGAAAAGAACCCCGGGAGGGGAG
rnacentral:rRNA from 1 species